CGAUUAUUAGAUACCCUGGUAGUCCACGCCGUAAACGAUGGAUACUAGCUGUUGGGAGCAAUCUCAGUGGCUAAGCGAAAGUGAUAAGUAUCCCACCUGGGGAGUACGUUCGCAAGAAUGAAACUCAAAGGAAUUGACGGGGGCCCGCACAAGCGGUGGAGCAUGUGGUUUAAUUCGAUGAUACGCGAGGAACCUUACCAAGGCUUAAAUGUAGUUUGACCGAUUUGGAAACAGAUCUUUCGCAAGACAAAUUACAAGGUGCUGCAUGGUUGUCGUCAGCUCGUGCCGUGAGGUGUCAGGUUAAGUCCUAUAACGAGCGCAACCCCUGUUGUUAGUUGCCAGCGAGUCAAGUCGGGAACUCUAACAAGACUGCCAGUGUAAACUGUGAGGAAGGUGGGGAUGACGUCAAAUCAUCACGGCCCUUACGCCUUGGGCUACACACGUGCUACAAUGGCCGG
rnacentral:rRNA from 1 species